UACAGAGGUGGCAAGCGUUGUUCGGAAUUACUGGGCGUAAAGGGCGCGUAGGCGGUUCGUUAAGUCCUGUGUGAAAUCCCCCGGCUCAACUGGGGAACUGCACAGGAAACUAGCGGGCUUGAGUUCGGGAGAGGGAAGCGGAAUUCCGGGUGUAGCGGUGAAAUGCGUAGAUAUCCGGAGGAACACCGGUGGCGAAGGCGGCUUCCUGG
rnacentral:rRNA from 1 species